AGAGCACUGUUUCGGCCAGGGGGCCAUCCCGGCUUACCAAUCCGAUGCAAACUGCGAAUACCGGAGAAUGUUAUCACGGGAGACACACGGCGGGUGCUAACGUCCGUCGUGAAGAGGGAAACAACCCAGACCGCCAGCUAAGGUCCCAAAGUCAUGGUUAAGUGGGAAACGAUGUGGGAAGGCCCAGACAGCCAGGAUGUUGGCUUAGAAGCAGCCAUCAUUUAAAGAAAGCGUAAUAGCUCACUGGUCGAGUCGGCCUGCGCGGAAGAUGUAACGGGGCUAAACCAUGCACCGAAGCUGCGGCAGCGACACUGAUGUGUUGUUGGGUAGGGGAGCG
rnacentral:rRNA from 1 species